AUUGAACGCUGGCGGCAGGCCUAACACAUGCAAGUCGAACGGUAACAGGAAGCAGCUUGCUGCUUUGCUGACGAGUGGCGGACGGGUGAGUAAUGUCUGGGAAACUGCCUGAUGGAGGGGGAUAACUACUGGAAACGGUAGCUAAUACCGCAUAACGUCGCAAGACCAAAGAGGGGGACCUUAGGGCCUCUUGCCAUCGGAUGUGCCCAGAUGGGAUUAGCUAGUAGGUGGGGUAACGGCUCACCUAGGCGACGAUCCCUAGCUGGUCUGAGAGGAUGACCAGCCACACUGGGACUGAGACACGGUACAGACUCCUACGGGAGGCAGCAGUGGGGAAUAUUGCACCAUGGGCGCAAGCCUGAUGCAGCCAUGCCGCGUGUAUGAAGAAGGCCUUCGGGUUGUAAAGUACUUUCAGCGGGGAGGAAGGGAGUAAAGUUAAUACCUUUGCUCAUUGACGUUAACCGCAGAAGAAGCACCGGCUAAAUCCGUG
rnacentral:rRNA from 1 species